rnacentral:rRNA from 1 species
GGCUCAGGAUGAACGCUAGCGGCAGGCUAACACAUGCAAGUCGAGGGGCAGCGCGGAGUAGCAAUACUCUGGCGGCGACCGGCGAAAGGGUGAGUAACGCGUGAGCAACAUGCCCGAUAGUGGAGGAUAGUCGAUGGAAACGUCGUGUAAUACUCCGUAACAUACGGGACCGCAUGAUUCUGUAUUAAUAGAUUUAUUGCUAUCGGAUUGGCUCGCGUACCAUUAGCUGGUUGGCGGGGUAACGGCCCACCAAGGCGACGAUGGUUAGGGGUUCUGAGAGGAAGGUCCCCCCACAUUGGAACUGAGACACGGUCCAGACUCCUACGGGAGGCAGCAGUGAGGAAUAUUGGACAAUGGCCGGAAGGCUGAUCCAGCCAUGCCGCGUGCGGGAAGAACCGGCCCUAUGGGUUGUAAACCGCUUUUGUUGGGGAGCAAUAAGGAGCACGUGUGCUUCGAUGAGAGUACCCAGCGAAUAAGCAUCGGCUAACUCCGUGCCAGCAGCUGC